rnacentral:tRNA from 1 species
UCCCUGGUGGUCCAGUGGUCAGAAGACUCUGCACUUCCAAUGCAGGGUCAUGGGUUCUAUCCCUGGCUGGGGAA